UGGCUUUGGCAGCAAAAAUAUUAAAAUGGGAAUGACGACAGAGAAGUUUAGCAUACAUGCUGUGCAAGGAUAAUGUUCAAAUUUGUGACCAUAUUUUU
ensembl:snRNA U6 U6 spliceosomal RNA